UUGUCCUGUGACUGCGUACCUUUUGUAUAAUGGGUCAGCGACUUAUAUUCAGUGGCAAGGUUAACCAUCUAGGGGAGCCGUAGGGAAACCGAGUCUUAACUGGGCGUUCAGUCUCUGGAUAUAGACCCGAAACCAGGUGAUCUAGCCAUGGGCAGGUUGAAGGUUGAGUAACAUCAACUGGAGGACCGAACCGACUAAUGUUGAAAAAUUAGCGGAUGACUUGUGGCUAGGGGUGAAAGGCCAAUCAAACC
rnacentral:rRNA from 1 species